rnacentral:rRNA from 1 species
AGCAGCCGCGGUAAUUCCAGCUCCAAUAGCGUAUAUUAAAGUUGUUGCAGUUAAAAAGCUCGUAGUUGAAUUUCGGGAUCAUCAGGUUGGUCGUGCCUCUGGUAUGUACUUUCCUCGAUGGUUCCUCCUUCUUGAAGAACCGUAAUGCCAUUAAUUUGGUGUUGCGGGGAAACAGGACUGUUACUUUGAAAAAAUUAGAGUGUUCAAAGCAGGCUUAUGUCUGAAUACAUUAGCAUGGAAUAAUAAAAUAGGACGGUGGUCCUGUUUUGUUGGUUUCUGAAUCACCGUAAUGAUUAAUAGGGAUAGUUGGGGGCAUUAGUAUUCAAUUGUCAGAGGUGAAAUUCUUGGAUUUAU